GGGUCAGUAGGUUGGUCGUGCCACCGGUACGUACUGGUCUCACUGAUUCCUCCUUCCUGAAGAACCGUAAUGCCAUUAAUUUGGUGUUGCGGGGAAACAGGACUGUUACUUUGAAAAAAUUAGAGUGUUUAAAGCAAGCUAACGCUUGAAUACAUUAGCAUGGAAUAAUGAAAUAGGACGAUCGAUCCUAUUUUGUUGGUUUCCAGGAUUGACGUA
rnacentral:rRNA from 1 species